UAGUCCACGCCGUAAACGAUGGAUACUAGGUGCAGCGGGUAUCGACCCCUGCUGUGCCGUAGCUAACGCGUUAAGUAUCCCGCCUGGGGAGUACGGCCGCAAGGCUAAAACUCAAAGAAAUUGACGGGGGGCCCGCACAAGCGGUGGAGCAUGUGGUUUAAUUCGAUGCAACGCGCAGAACCUUACCUGGGCUUGAAAUCCUCUGACAACUAUAGAGAUAUAGCUUUUACCUUCGGGUGACAGAGUGACAGGUGCCGCAUGGCUGUCGUCAGCUCGUGUCGUGAGAUGUUGGGUUAAGUCCCGUAACGAGCGCAACCCUUGUCGUUAGUUGCCAGCAUUAAGUUGGGCACUCUAGCGAGACUGCCGGUGUCAAGCCGGAGGAAGGUGGGGAUGACGUCAAGUCCUCAUGGCCCUUAUGUCCAGGGCUACACACGUGCUACAAUGGCCGGUACAAAGAGCAGCCAACUAGCAAUAGUGAGCAAAUCUCAAAAACCGGU
rnacentral:rRNA from 1 species